rnacentral:ncRNA from 2 species
AACGCAGGUGUCCUAAGAUGAGCUCAACGA